rnacentral:rRNA from 1 species
GAGCGGACAGAUGGGAGCUUGCUCCCUGAUGUUAGCGGCGGACGGGUGAGUAACACGUGGGUAACCUGCCUGUAAGACUGGGAUAACUCCGGGAAACCGGGGCUAAUACCGGAUGGUUGUUUGAACCGCAUGGUUCAAACAUAAAAGGUGGCUUCGGCUACCACUUACAGAUGGACCCGCGGCGCAUUAGCUAGUUGGUGAGGUAACGGCUCACCAAGGCAACGAUGCGUAGCCGACCUGAGAGGGUGAUCGGCCACACUGGGACUGAGACACGGCCCAGACUCCUACGGGAGGCAGCAGUAGGGAAUCUUCCGCAAUGGACGAAAGUCUGACGGAGCAACGCCGCGUGAGUGAUGAAGGUUUUCGGAUCGUAAAGCUCUGUUGUUAGGGAAGAACAAGUACCGUUCGAAUAGGGCGGUACCUUGACGGUACCUAACCAGAAAGCCACGGCUAACUACGUGCCAGCAGCCGCGGUAAUACGUAGGUGGCAAGCGUUGUCCGGAAUUAUUGGGCGUAAAGGGCUCGCAGGCGGUUUCUUAAGUCUGAUGUGAAAGCCCCCGGCUCAACCGGGGAGGGUCAUUGGAAACUGGGGAACUUGAGUGCAGAAGAGGAGAGUGGAAUUCCACGUGUAGCGGUGAAAUGCGUAGAGAUGUGGAGGAACACCAGUGGCGAAGGCGACUCUCUGGUCUGUAACUGACGCUGAGGAGCGAAAGCGUGGGGAGCGAACAGGAUUAGAUACCCUGGUAGUCCACGCCGUAAACGAUGAGUGCUAAGUGUUAGGGGGUUUCCGCCCCUUAGUGCUGCAGCUAACGCAUUAAGCACUCCGCCUGGGGAGUACGGUCGCAAGACUGAAACUCAAAGGAAUUGACGGGCCCCCCC